rnacentral:rRNA from 1 species
UACAGAGGGUGCGAGCGUUGUUCGGAAUUACUGGGCGUAAAGGGCGCGUAGGCGGCCACCGCAAGUCGACUGUGAAAUCUCCGGGCUUAACCCGGAAAGGUCAGCCGAUACUGCGGGGCUAGAGUGCAGAAGGGGCAACUGGAAUUCUCGGUGUAGCGGUGAAAUGCGUAGAUAUCGAGAGGAACACCUGCGGCGAAGGCGGGUUGCUGGGCUGACACUGACGCUGAUGCGCGAAAGCUAGGGGAGCGAACGGG